CAGAGGGUAGACAAAAUAAUAUGAACACCAUGUAAUAUAGUUACAUAUUGUUGCAUGUUGGCUACAUUGUAUUAUUUUUGAUAAUAUGGUGUAAUAUUAGUAUAUUAUCGCAAUAUAGCUGUUAUUUAUUAUAUAUUAGUGUAUUACACAGGUUAUACUACGAACAUUAGAAUAAAUUCCAAACAAAAUGUGUGACCUCUCGGACUUCCAAAGAGGGGAAAUCGUGGGUACUCGAUUUGCGGGAGCGUCUGUUACGGAAACAUCUAAACUGUUGAACGCGUCAAGAGGAACAGUAUCCACAGUAAUGACAGCAUACACAAAAUAGGGAAAAACAUCAUCGGCAAAAAAUAAUAGUAGGCGAAAUCCAAAGUUGACUGACAAGGACCGACGAACAUUAAAACGGAUAGUGACAAGACAACAUAAAACUACCGCGGCUAAAGUUACAACAGAACUUAACGCUCACUUAAGUAAUACUGUUUCGACAAAAACUGUACGACGGGAGCUCCACAAAGGUAAUAUUUAUGGAAGGGCUGCAAUUGCAAAACCCUUUAUUACAGAAAAUAACUCCAAGUUGCGAAAUAAAUGGUGCCG